AAGAGUUCUGAUAGACAGCCUAGCUGUCUCAUCGCUCCCACCCUUUGUUUAUAUUACCUUUGUUGCUUUGGCAGGCCCGCUCCAGGGCCGCCGGCUUUAGCUGGUCAGUGUCUGCCAGAGGACCUAAAACUCUUAAUAAUAUUGUCUGAGUACUACAUAAUAGUUA
rnacentral:misc_RNA from 1 species